GAUGAACGCUGGCGGCGUGCCUAAUACAUGCAAGUCGAGCGAACUAGAAGAAAAGCUUGCUUUUCUUCUAGUUAGCGGCGGACGGGUGAGUAACACGUGGGCAACCUACCUUGUAGAUUGGGAUAACUCCGGGAAACCGGGGCUAAUACCGAAUAAUCCAUUUUGCUUCAUGGCGAGAUGUUGAAAGACGGUUUCGGCUGUCACUACAAGAUGGGCCCGCGGCGCAUUAGCUAGUUGGUAGGGUAAUGGCCUACCAAGGCGACGAUGCGUAGCCGACCUGAGAGGGUGAUCGGCCACACUGGGACUGAGACACGGCCCAGACUCCUACGGGAGGCAGCAGUAGGGAAUCUUCCACAAUGGACGAAAGUCUGAUGGAGCAACGCCGCGUGAGUGAAGAAGGUUUUCGGAUCGUAAAACUCUGUUGUAAGGGAAGAACACGUACGAGAGUAACUGCUCGUACCUUGACGGUACCUUAUUAGAAAGCCACGGCUAACUACGUG
rnacentral:rRNA from 1 species